ensembl:lncRNA
UGGUGAUACUCUGGAAGUCCUUUUUCUUAUCUGGUGACCUCAUGAAUUUUGUGCUAAAGAAGUUUGUGCCUACAAAUGAAGGAAAUUUCAUUCACACUUGAUUAAUUGGAAUCUGGAGAGCAAGGGCACUGAUGAGGAGAAAAGAUGAAGAUCAAAUUCCUGUGGAAAUAAAAUCCUAAAAACUGGGCUAUCAAUCCAACAGGACAGAUUCCUUAUACAAUAGGUGCCUCUUAAAUUAGGUGCUGUAAAUUAACCAGCUCAACUAAACAUAAGCAGGAUCUUAUCACUGUAAUGCACAAUAACGUCUACAUUAUUAAAAUUCCACUAAAGAAAACUUAGUGUGAGAUAAUGCAGACAUGAAUGAUCAUUUAACAUUAAUCCUGAUGACAGCCAUUUCCACAUUGCUAUUGAAAUUCCCUCCUUCCUACAUUCUCAUUUCCAAAUACAAUACAAACAGCAUGCUCUAAUCAAUCAAAUGUACAUUCACCAUAUUUUUUAUACAAGGCCUUGUAUCUCCGAUAUAUAAGCUGCUGACAAUCAUUUAUCUUUCCUCUUGCUUUGUAGUCUCACUAAAUGAAAGAACAGUUAGAGUAAGUUGUAGUUUCAGCAGUGAUUUUUACAUUUAGAAUUUGUUUAAUGACAAAUUACUGAUGUUAAUAACAGCCAGACCAAAAGAUUGUCAAGUUUAUCCAGCACAGCAACAUCUGACUGUGAUUUUAUUGCUUUGAGAUUUGGUCUAAAUCAGAAUAAACUGCUUUGAUCAGCUCUGCAAAUUGAUUCCAUGCUCCAGGACUGCGUCAUAUGAAGUCAGCAUGAGUUUUCAUUAGAUAUAAGAAAAUAAAUUUUUUACAGUAAGGGUGGUAAAGCAUUGGAACAGUUUGCCCAGAGAGGUGGUGGAUGCCCCAUCCCUGGAGAUACUCCUGGUCGGGCUGAAUGGGGCACUGAGUACCUGAUAGAGCAGUAGGUGUCCCUGCUCACUGCAGUAGAGUUAGACUAGAUGGCCUUAAAGGGUCCCUUCAACUCAAAUGAUUCUAUGAUUGUAUGACCACAUGAUUCUGAACUCUCCUCCAUCCUUAAGUGUAUGGACUGUGUUAGAAUGUUAGUCAUCUCAGGCUAUUUGUAGAUGCUGGGUGUUGGAGAAGUGACAUUUAGCAUAAUUCAGAUCACUUAUGAUGUGACUGGUUUGCUGACAGUGUUUGAGUUCUGUGAUUGUAGAGAUAGUUUAGAAUCGUUUAUCACUUAUGUUCAGGUGGGGUAGACUGGAUAGAAACCUGUUUAUAAAUCUCCAAUAGUUAUAGUGAGGGAGCACAAAAAUCUAUAUUUAGGUUAAGCACAUACAUACAUGGCUUACUUUUCAGAGGGGAAUUAUUGGUAAGAGCAGGCAGUAGUUAACACCACCAAGAGCAGAAAUACACUAGAUCACAUUGGCAAGUUGCCUAGAGAUGUCUUACUUCAGACAUCUUAGGUUGGGAUGAAAUUUCAUUCUUUUGGUAUAAAACAUGUAUGUCUUUAAAGUGUGUAUGUAUGUGGUUGAAGGGACCUUAAAACACUUAGUUACUCUUAUUUCAACAAGUCAAUACGGUGAAACGUGUAAUAUGUCAAGAACAAUAGAGAUUAUAAAUAUUUUAUCAAAAUGUGAGUUAUUUCUAAAUAUUAUCUAUCAAAAUAAUUUUACUGGUCUCCAAAGAGGUCAGGAUAAGGGAGGGCAGAAAUGUUUUUUACUAAAAAUAAGAACAGGGCUUUUUUCUGAAAUCUCCCACGCAGAGUAGUGUAAUGGUAUCACUGCAAAUUUUGCUUAGAAGAUCAUUUGAUAUAAAUGUAGGUUUCUUCGCUUUCCACCCCCCUCUCCCUCCCCCGCCCCCCCCCCCCCCAAAAAAAAAAAAAGCCAGUUUAACAUAGAUACUUCAUGGAAUAAUUUUCUAAAUGCAGACAGCAUUUAAUUCGGUCUCUGUCAGAAGAUGUAUGUGAAGAUUUUAAAAGCUGAGAUUUUAAAUGACGGAGAAAAAAAUAAAACUAACAUUUUUAUCACAAUUAACAG